GACGAACGCUGGCGGCGUGCUUGACACAUGCAAGUCGAACGAUGAAGCUAGAGCUUGCUCUGGUGAAUUAGUGGCGAACGGGUGAGUAACACGUGAGUAACCUGCCCCGAACUCUGGGAUAACUGCUGGAAACGGUAGCUAAUACUGGAUACGACCUACGAAGGCAUCUUCUGUAGGUGGAAAGAAUUUCGGUUCGGGAUGGACUCGUGGCCUAUCAGCUUGUUGGUGAGGUAAUGGCUCACCAAGGCGACGACGGGUAGCCGGCCUGAGAGGGUGACCGGCCACACUGGGACUGAGAUACGGCCCAGACUCCUACGGGAGGCAGCAGUGGGGAAUAUUGCACAAUGGGCGCAAGCCUGAUGCAGCGACGCCGCGUGAUGGAUGACGGCCUUCGGGUUGUAAACCUCUUUCAGCACAGACGAAGCGCAAGUGACGGUAUGUGCAGAAGAAGGACCGGCCAACUACGUGCCAGCCGCCGCAGUAA
rnacentral:rRNA from 1 species